rnacentral:rRNA from 2 species
GUCAACGAUCAUACCAUGUUGAAAACACCAGUUCUCGUCCGAUCACUGAAGUUAAGCAAGUUUGCAUUUUUUUUUAUUGCGCGGAGCUGGAUUCGAACCCAGGACGGCAUUUUGA